ensembl:lincRNA
CCGUGCCCCACCCUGACUUGUUUAUUUACUUGUUUUGUAAACAUUAUUUACUGAGCAUGAUCAAACUGCUUGACUGGAGAGGCUGCUGCAAGUCUCCUCCCUCUGCCCCCAGCCACUCCGCACUACCCGUCCUUGCUGGUGUCUGGAAUCAGCGGGGCCCUGGCCGAGUGCACAGGAAAGGAAAUGGCUCAUUGCUUCAGCCUUUAGACCCGAGGGCAGGGAGGGCCUGUCGGGCGGCCGCCUAGUCAGGGGUGUGUCAGAGGCCACAGGGGCCCGGGCCCAGCAGCUGAGGCUUGGUAAGCUCUGAAGCCUGGGCUCCAGGCCAGCUUGCUGCUAACCUCCACCUGAGACCACCCCACCCCCAACCCCCUUCCUUCUCUCUCCUGCUGCGGAGGCGCGCCCUUCCGGAAUGAAACUUGGUUUGGUUUCUCACGACCCAGAAGGCUUGAAGCAAACCUGCAAUUACUCACCGCCUGGUCUGUGCCGGCUGCAGCUCUCAGACUCAGGAUGAGAUGGCGUCUCUCCUCCACGAUGGCUGCCCUCAUCUGCUCAUCCUCACUUGGCCUUCAGCAGUGCUCAGCUGACAUAGAUGAGGGAAUAGGAGUGACUCGUCAUCACAGUCGCCGUGUACUCGAGACAAACGCUCAGGGGGAUGCCAGUUCCCAUAGGACUCACAGCGGGAGACACAGCGGAGCGUCCAGUGCUUCCUCGGCUAGCCGUGUCCCACGAUGGCAGGUCAUUUGCGGACACCGUCUGCACCUCCUUUAUCAGUUGUGUUACUGCUCUGGGUUGAAU